rfam:Tyto alba contig131653, whole genome shotgun sequence.
GAAUUUUUGAUGUCGCGGAUACUGCAUCAGGAACUGAUUGGAUAAUAAUCAGUCACCAUCAGUUCCUAAUGCAUUGCCUUCAGCAUCUAAACA